rnacentral:rRNA from 1 species
AUGCACGCUGGCGGCGUGCCUAAUACAUGCCAGUCGAGCUAACAGACGAGGAGCUUGCUCCUCUGACGUUAGCGGCGGACGGGUGAGUAACACGUGGAUAACCUACCUAUAAGACUGGGAUAACUUCGGGAAACCGGAGCUAAUACCGGAUAAUAUAUUGAACCGCAUGGUUCAAUAGUGAAAGACGGUUUUGCUGUCACUUAUAGAUGGAUCCGCGCCGCAUUAGCUAGUUGGUAAGGUAACGGCUUACCAAGGCAACGAUGCGUAGCCGACCUGAGAGGGUGAUCGGCCACACUGGAACUGAGACACGGUCCAGACUCCUACGGGAGGCAGCAGUAGGGAAUCUUCCGCAAUGGGCGAAAGCCUGACGGAGCAACGCCGCGUGAGUGAUGAAGGUCUUCGGAUCGUAAAACUCUGUUAUUAGGGAAGAACAAAUGUGUAAGUAACUAUGCACGUCUUGACGGUACCUAAUCAGAAAGCCACGGCUAACUACGUG